rnacentral:lncRNA from 1 species
GAAAAACGAAGUGUGAAUGGAGUAUGAGCAGUGGAGUGUAUUGUGUUGGUGAGGAGAUGUUGGUUUCAGAUGAAGGUGUGAUGAACUUAGCAAGAGAAAUCUGUGAUCGAUGGGGAAGAACAAAUGAAGGUGUAAUGAAUUUAGGAAGAGCAAUCUAGCAGUAACUGCUAGCCUUCAAGUUUUCAAACAGAGGGAUUUCAAC